CUCUCUCUUUCAUGUUUAUGUGUAUAUUAAUCUCUUUAAGUUUCCCCCUUUUAUGCUAGUUGGAAUGCUUAUCACACAAGAUUGUAGUAGCAAUACAAUUUGAUGUGAAGAGCUUUUGGGCGUUACGUCUUUGUGGAAGUUUGAACAAGCAAGCAAGCAGCUCCAUAUGUUUUAUGCCACAGGCAUCAAUUGGUUAAAAUUUCUCUGGUUUUUAGCAAAUUCAUGGUGUAUACCUUCAUACGCUCAAAAAUAAAUUCAAAUUCCUUCCUAUUUUCAGAA